rnacentral:rRNA from 1 species
GGGGAAUAUUGCACAAUGGGGGAAACCCUGAUGCGGCGACGCCGCGUGAAGGAAGAAGUAUCUCGGUAUGUAAACUUCUAUCAGCAGGGAAGAUAGUGACGGUACCUGACUAAGAAGCCCCGGCUAACUACGUGCCAGCAGCCGCGGUAAUACGUAGGGGGCAAGCGUUAUCCGGAUUUACUGGGUGUAAAGGGAGCGUAGACGGACUGGCAAGUCUGAUGUGAAAGGCGGGGGCUCAACCCCUGGACUGCAUUGGAAACUGUUAGUCUUGAGUGCCGGAGAGGUAAGCGGAAUUCCUAGUGUAGCGGUGAAAUGCGUAGAUAUUAGGAGGAACACCAGUGGCGAAGGCGGCUUACUGGACGGUAACUGACGUUGAGGCUCGAAGGCGUGGGGAGCAAAC